UGCGUAGGCGGCGCGGUAAGUCGGGUGUGAAAUCUCGGAGCUUAACUCCGAAACUGCAUUCGAUACUGCCGUGCUUGAGGACUGGAGGGGAGACUGGAAUUUACGGUGUAGCGGUGAAAUGCGUAGAUAUCGUAAGGAAGACCAGUGGCGAAGGCGGGUCUCUGGACAGUUCCUGACGCUGAGGCACGAAGGCCAGGGGAGCAAACG
rnacentral:rRNA from 1 species